UGCAUUUUCAUCCAAGAAGAGGAAGGCCAAAAUUUGCAUCCACAAAUUGGUGCUUUCAUUGAGAGUCUUGAUUCACAUGCUCAAAGAAGACUUUCUUAUUCAAAAGUUUCUAGUUUCUUGUUCAUUCAUAGAUUUUUUGUACGUUCUUGUUCUUGGAAUUUUUUUAUAAAAUUCUUUGAAUAAACAUAAAAGAAAAGUAUGAUGACUAGAAAUUCGAAAACCACGACAAACGGAACCUUCAACUUUCAAGGAUUUAAACCACGACGAUCCAUGAGGCUCAACGCGACGACGAGUGGAGCAACGUUACCCCUA
rnacentral:lncRNA from 1 species